AGUAAAGUGGUGCGCUCCAGACUUUCUGUCCCCGGGCGGUGCACAAAGAAUUUCUCGCCUGUGAGGCCUUGUGGGUUAUUAACAGCCAUUUUGGGCCCUACAAUUACGAGUAGGGUUUUGAGGGUUUUAGGUCAAGCAAUCUAGUGAUCUAUCCCUAGGGUUUGCAGAGAAGAGGUGAGAUGGAGAACUCCGCCGAGAUGCAGCGAUUCCUGGAGGGGAGGGAGCUAAGUGGGGAGUGGUGGCAGCUGACUAGGGAGAUGGAAGCAAGAGAAGCAGAAAGCUAUGGUUAGUGAGAUGGUGGGGAAGAUUACAAAUGUAUGCUGGGACAAGUGCAUUACCAGUACUCCGGGCAGCAAGUUCAGCUCCAGUGAAUCUACAUGUCUUACCAAUUGUGCACAGCGAUAUGUGGACAUGAGUGUUCUCAUCAUGAAACGAUUUCAGUCUAUGCAGUAAACCAUCGUCAUUUUGACUAACUGGUUUGCCCAUCUAGCAUUUCAUCUUAAUUCAUGACCUGUUUUGCUUAAUAUUUGACAUUGUUUUUGUAUGUGUUUUUCUGCCCAUGUUCUUACACGAAAAAAAUAAUAGUAUGUGAUAUACAUUGAUAACCAAUAUCAAUUCAUUUAUUAUAUAAAA